rnacentral:rRNA from 1 species
UACGGAGGGUGCGAGUGUUAAUCGGAAUUACUGGGCGUAAAGGGUGCGUAGGUGGUUUAAUAAGUUAUCUGUGAAAUUCUUGGGCUUAACCUGAGGUGGUCAGAUAAGACUGUUAGACUCGAGUAUGGGAGAGGGUAGUGGAAUUUCCGGUGUAGCGGUGAAAUGCGUAGAGAUCGGAAGGAACACCAGUGGCGAAGGCGGCUACCUGGCCCAAUACUGACACUGAGGCACGAAAGCGUGGGGAGCAAACAGG